UACGUAGGGCGCAAGCGUUGUCCGGAAUUAUUGGGCGUAAAGAGCUCGUAGGCGGUUUGUCGCGUCUGCUGUGAAAACCUAAGGCUCAACCUUGGGCUUGCAGUCGAUACGGGCAGGCUAGAAUUCGGUAGGGGAGACUGGAAUUCCUGGUGUAGCGGUGAAAUGCGCAGAUAUCAGGAGGAACACCGGUGGCGAAGGCGGGUCUCUGGGCCGAUAUUGACGCUGAGGAGCGAAAGCGUGGGGAGCGAACAGG
rnacentral:rRNA from 1 species